rnacentral:rRNA from 1 species
GACGAACGCUGGCGGCGUGCCUAAUACAUGCAAGUAGAACGCACAGUUUAUACCGUAGCUUGCUACACCAUAAACUGUGAGUUGCGAACGGGUGAGUAACGCGUAGGUAACCUGCCUGGUAGCGGGGGAUAACUAUUGGAAACGAUAGCUAAUACCGCAUAAUAUUAAUUAUUGCAUGAUAAUUGAUUGAAAGAUGCAAUUGCAUCACUACCAGAUGGACCUGCGUUGUAUUAGCUAGUAGGUGAGGUAACGGCUCACCUAGGCGACGAUACAUAGCCGACCUGAGAGGGUGAUCGGCCACACUGAGAGUGAGACACGGCCCAGACUCCUACGGGAGGCAGCAGUAGGGAAUCUGCGGCAAUGGACGAAAGUCUGACCGAGCAACGCCGCGUGAGUGAAGAAGGUUUUCGGAUCGUAAAGCUCUGUUGUAAGAGAAGAACGGGUGUGAGAGUGGAAAGUUCACACUGUGACGGUAUCUUACCAGAAAGGGACGGCUAACUACGUG